rnacentral:rRNA from 1 species
UAGGGAAUCUUCGGCAAUGGACGAAAGUCUGACCGAGCAACGCCGCGUGAGUGAAGAAGGUUUUCGGAUCGUAAAACUCUGUUGUUAGAGAAGAACAAGGACGUUAGUAACUGAACGUCCCCUGACGGUAUCUAACCAGAAAGCCACGGCUAACUACGUGCCAGCAGCCGCGGUAAUACGUAGGUGGCAAGCGUUGUCCGGAUUUAUUGGGCGUAAAGCGAGCGCAGGCGGUUUCUUAAGUCUGAUGUGAAAGCCCCCGGCUCAACCGGGGAGGGUCAUUGGAAAAUGGGAGACUUGAGGGCAGAAGAGGAGAGUGGAAUUCCAUGUGUAGCGGUGAAAUGCGUAGAUAUAAGGAGGAACACCAGUGGCGAAGGCGGCGCUCUGGUCUGUAACUGACGAUGAGGCUCGAAAGCGUGGGGAGCAAACAGG